rnacentral:rRNA from 1 species
CGGGGGUACACGAGCGGCGGAAGGGUCAGUAAUGCGUGGAUUAUCUACCCCUGGAUCGAGGACAACCGUGCUAACGCGCGGCUAAUACUCGAUAACGUCCCAGGACCAAAGGUGUGAUUCCGUCCGGGGAUGAGUCCACGUCCUAUUAGCUAGUUGGUGAGGUAAUGGCUCACCAAGGCCAAGAUGGGUAGCAGGUGUGAGAGCACGACCUGCGACACUGGGACUGAGAUACUGCCCAGACACCUACGGGUGGCUGCAGUCGAGAAUCUUCUGCAAUGGGCGAAAGCCUGACAGAGCGACGCCGCGUGCGGGAUGAAGGCCUUCGGGUUGUAAACCGCUGUCAGUGGGGAGCAAAUUACUAGGGGUUCUCCCCUAGUAUUGAGCGAUCCGCAGAGGAAGCAGAGGCUAAGUUCGUGCCAGCAGCCGCGGUAAGACGAACCCUGCAAACGUUAUUCGGAAUUACUGGGCUUAAAGAGUCCGUAGGCGGCGCGUUAGGUGGGGUGUGAAAUCCCUCGGCCCAACCGAGGAAUUGCGCUCCAAACCGGCGUGCUUGAGGAAGGUAGAGGUGAGCGGAACUGAUGGUGGAGCGGUGAAAUGCGUUGAUAUCAUCAGAACACCGG